rnacentral:rRNA from 1 species
GUGGAUUAGAUACCCUGGUAGUCCACGCCGUAAACGAUGGGUACUAGGUGUAGGAGGUAUCGACCCCUUCUGUGCCGCCGUUAACACAAUAAGUACCCCGCCUGGGGAGUACGGUCGCAAGACUAAAACUCAAAGGAAUUGACGGGGGCCCGCACAAGCAGCGGAGCAUGUGGUUUAAUUCGAAGCAACGCGAAGAACCUUACCUAGACUUGACAUCUCCUGAAUUACCCUUAAUCGGGGAAGCCCUUCGGGGCAGGAAGACAGGUGGUGCACGGCUGUCGACAACU